UAACUGUUGGACCUCUAAUGUCACA
rnacentral:piRNA from 1 species